CUUGUACACACCGCCCGUCACACCACGGAAGUUGGGGGCGCCCGAAGCCACUUAGCUAACCCUUUGGGAAGCGAGUGUCGAAGGUGAAAUCAAUAACUGGGGUGAAGUCGUAACAAGGUAUC
rnacentral:rRNA from 1 species